CGCCUGUUUAUCAAAAACAUGUCUUUUUGUUAAUUAUUUAAGGUCUGGCCUGCUCCAUGAUUAUUUAAAUAGCCGCAGUAUUUUGACUGUGCAAAGGUAGCAUAAUCAUUAGUUUUUUAAUUGAAAGCUGGAAUGAAUGGUCGGAUGAGAAAAUUUCUGUCUCAUUAUAAAUUUAUUUGAAUUUUAUUUUUAAGUCAAAAAGCUUAAAUUUAAUAUAAAGACGAGAAGACCCUAUAGAGUUUAAUAAUUUAUAUUUCUACUAUUUAAGGGUUUAAAUUUAGUUGUUUUAUAUAUUUAUUUUGUUGGGGUGACAAAAGAAUUGGAAUAACUUCUUUAUAUUUAAACAUUGAUAUAUGAAUAAUUGAUCCUGAUUUUUGGAUUAAAAGAAUAAAUUACCUUAGGGAUAACAGCGUAAUCUUUUUGGAGAGUUCUAAUCAAUAAAAGGGAUUGCGACCUCGAUGUUGGAUUAAAGUUAAUUUAUGGUGCAGAAGCUAUAACUUUG
rnacentral:rRNA from 1 species